rnacentral:rRNA from 1 species
AUUGAACGCUGGCGGCAUGCCUUACACAUGCAAGUCGAACGGUAACGGGCCUUCGGGUGCCGACGAGUGGCGAACGGGUGAGUAAUGUAUCGGAACGUACCUUUCAGUGGGGGAUAACGUAGCGAAAGUUACGCUAAUACCGCAUAUUCUGUGAGCAGGAAAGCAGGGGAUCGCAAGACCUUGCGCUGAUUGAGCGGCCGAUAUCAGAUUAGCUAGUUGGUGAGGUAAAGGCUCACCAAGGCGACGAUCUGUAGCGGGUCUGAGAGGAUGAUCCGCCACACUGGAACUGAGACACGGUCCGGACUCCUACGGGAGGCAGCAGUGGGGAAUAUUGGACAAUGGGCGCAAGCCUGAUCCAGCAAUGCCGCGUGUGUGAAGAAGGCCUUCGUGUUGUAAAGCACUUUAGCCUGGAAAGAAAAAACUUUGGUUAACACCCAAAGUCUUGACGGUACCAGGAGAAUAAGCACCGGCUAACUCUGUGCCAGCAGCCGCCGUAACAC